rnacentral:rRNA from 1 species
UACGAAGGGUGCAAGCGUUACUCGGAAUUACUGGGCGUAAAGCGUGCGUAGGUGGUUCGUUAAGUCUGAUGUGAAAGCCCUGGGCUCAACCUGGGAAUGGCAUUGGAUACUGGCGACCUAGAGUGCGGUAGAGGGGUGUGGAAUUCCCGGUGUAGCAGUGAAAUGCGUAGAUAUCGGGAGGAACAUCUGUGGCGAAGGCGACACCCUGGACCAGCACUGACACUGAGGCACGAAAGCCAGGGGAGCAAACGGG